rnacentral:rRNA from 1 species
UACGUAGGGUGCGAGCGUUAAUCGGAAUUACUGGGCGUAAAGGGUGCGCAGGCGGCUUGGAAAGAACGGUGUGAAAUCCCGGGGCUCAACCUCGGAACUGCACUAUUAACUGCCAAGCUAGAGUAUGUCAGAGGGGGGUGGAAUUCCGCGUGUAGCAGUGAAAUGCGUAGAUAUGCGGAGGAACACCGAUGGCGAAGGCAGCCCCCUGGGAUGGUACUGACGCUCAGGCACGAAAGCGUGGGUAGCGAACAGG